AAACGCUAAACAUUCCUUCUUGAGCAUCUGCUGAGCACAAAGCAAAGACGCCGUGGCCAAGGCCCCCUUCUGGUGCAGAGCCCCACAGUGAGCAGCAGGCAGAUAACUGCUGCUACAAUGUGACUUUCCAUUUCCCGCUUGUCUUCUCCACUGGAACAUUCCGAGGAGGAUCUCAGCAGCUAUCUGAGGAAGGAUGAAAGGCAAGACUGCCUUCCCUGAUCACGCUGCGCUGUUUCCGUGUGUCGGGAAACAGUAAAAUCCACCCAUGGAUGCGUCUGGCUUCCUUUCAACAACACUGUGCUCAGCGCUGAGGCUCCGGGAGGUGCUCACUGCAGUCUGCAUUCCCAGGGAGCUGCAGCCCAGCCUCGGGCAUGGCAACACGUGAGCAACAUGCAGCAUCAUGCCUGGAAGGAUGGGGGAGGUGGCAGGCACCCGGGCCCCAUCUGCCAGCUGAGAGCCAGGCCCUUAGACUCAAAAAGGACAAGCACCUUAGGGCCACACAGCCACACGGGGCUGGACUCCAUCCCAGUGCUGGGAUGGGGAGUCCACACACGAGGGCAGAGAGGGAGGGAUUCUUGCAUCCACACAUGCAGGGUUUGUAAACUGAUUCACGGUGGGGCAUAGUAAAACGAGUAUCCCCGGUAUCACGCUAGAAUCACAAAUUCGAUAGGUUCCGCACAGAGCCCUGGAGUCAGCGUUUGGGUCCUCAGCCCGUGAUUCUCAUGCAGAUGUCUGGAUGAGCACACCAGACCCCUAUCCUAGUCGGUUGGCACAGUGCACCUGCAGAGCUGGCGCCACAUGGAUGCCACCAAGGUUUACCACUAGUCACGUCUGCAGCUGAGGCCUCAGCCACACGUGGGCCUGCUUGAGCCACCGCUGGGGGGCUGCACCCCAGGAUGUACAAGUAGAAACUUGGGGCGGCUCUGGGCAUCAAGCCCCAAAGCACCACGGGUGCCUUGGGCCCCACCCUUGAAACAUCUUCCCUCAAGGGCCUGGCCCUCUGGGCUGGUGAUGGGGGCAACAGCCCCAGAGAGCCCCAAAAUGCCUUCAAAGUCAUUUCACAUUGUCUUUGAUGAAUAGCAUCUGUCUUCCUUCUCGCCAUGCUAAUCUCCUUAAUAAGGAGGCUGGUAUCCAGGGUGGUGCUCAGCUAUGCACCGUUUGGUUUUCUCUCCCAAACACACUUUUUCAUUCUUCACAUAGCUAGGCUGAGAAUUUUCCAAACCUUUAAGUUCUGCUCCCCUUUUAAUUAUAAAUUCCAUCUUCAGUUCUCACAUUUCCUAUGAGCAAUCAAGGGAAGCCGUGCUGUGCCCUCAACACUUUGCUUAGUGAUUUCCUUUGCCACUUAUCCUUGCUAGUCAUUCUUAGCGGCCGCCUUCCGUGGGGCCCAGGACUUGGACACAAUUCAGGCAAGUUCUCUGCUACCUUAUGACGGGGACGGCCACUUCUCCAGUUUCCAAUGCCUUGUCUUGGUCUCUGAGACCUCGUCACAAUGGCUUUUACUGUCCACAUUUCUACCAACACUCUGAUCAUGACUACUUAGGUCACCCCCAAGAAGAUAAAGUCUCUCCCUACAGCUCUCUUCUUCUACAGCUCACCCUAGUCACCCGUAACCCUCUGUUUGUGGCAACACAGGCUUUUUAUAGCAUUGCUUCAAGGCUGCUCCAGCCUCUACUUGUUUCUCAGUUCCAAAGCUGUUUCCACAUUUUCAGGCAUUUGUUGCAGCAACACCCCACUUCUAGCUGUCAGUCUGUUCCUGCUGCUCGAACAAGACACCCGAGACUGGGUAAUUUACCAACAGCAUAAUUGUGUUGCUCACAGCUGUGGAGGCUGGGAAGGUCCUGGAUCAAGGCUCCGGUAGGGUGGGUGUCUGGCAAGGGCUUGUUUCUGCCUCCACGUUGCUACCAUGUCCUCCCAGCAUGAAAAAAGAGGCAGAGCCCUCUGGGGCCUCGUUCAUGCGGGCACCAACCUCAUUCCUCAUCACCUCCCAGAGGCCUCACCUUCUACUAAUAUCAUUAUCACCUUGGUAGUUAGGUUUCAGCAUAUGACUUUGGAGGCACUCAGA